CCGCGACGUUGUGAGAAGUCCACUGAACCUUAUCAUUUAGAGGAAGGAGAAGUCGUAACAAGGUUUCCGUAGGUGAACCUGCGGAAGGAUCAUUG
rnacentral:rRNA from 3 species